AAUGAACGCUGGCGGCAUGCCUUACACAUGCAAGUCGAACGGCAGCAUGACCUAGCUUGCUAGGUUGAUGGCGAGUGGCGAACGGGUGAGUAAUGCAUCGGUACGUGCCUUUUAGUGGGGGAUAACGUAGCGAAAGUUACGCUAAUACCGCAUAUUCUCUGAGGAGGAAAGCAGGGGACCUUCGGGCCUUGCGCUAGAAGAGCGGCCGAUGUCGGAUUAGCUAGUUGGUGAGGCAAAGGCUCACCAAGGCAACGAUCCGUAGCGGGUCUGAGAGGAUGAUCCGCCACACUGGGACUGAGACAAGGCCCAGACUCCUACGGGAGGCAGCAGUGGGGAAUUUUGGACAAUGGGCGCAAGCCUGAUCCAGCCAUGCCGCGUGAGUGAAGAAGGCCUUCGGGUUGUAAAGCUCUUUCGGCUGGGAAGAAAUCGCACCCUCUAAUACAGGGUGUGGAUGACGGUACCAGCAUAAGAAGCACCGGCUAACUACGUG
rnacentral:rRNA from 1 species